GCACAAGCAGUGGAGUAUGUGGUUUAAUUCGAAGCAACGCGAAGAACCUUACCAGGUCUUGACAUCCGAUGCAUAGCACAGAGAUGUGUGAAAUCCUUCGGGACAUCGAGACAGGUGGUGCAUGGUUGUCGUCAGCUCGUGUCGUGAGAUGUUGGGUUAAGUCCCGCAACGAGCGCAACCCUUAUUGCCAGUUACUACGUUAAGAGGACUCUGGCGAGACUGC
rnacentral:rRNA from 1 species